UUUUUGAAAAUAAUUUAAAGUCUAAUCUGCCCACUGAUAUAUAAUAUUAAAGGGCUGCAGUAUAUUGACUGUACAAAGGUAGCAUAAUCAUUAGUCUUUUAAUUGAAGACUUGUAUGAAAGAUUUAAUGAAAUAUAAGCUGUCUCUUAUUUAUAAUUAGAAUUUAAUUUUUUAGUUAAAAAGCUAAAAUUAAUUUAAAAGACGAGAAGACCCUAUAGAGUUUAAUAAUUAAAUUAUUUAAGAUUUUAUAUAUAAAUUAUAAUUAAAAAAAAUUUAAUUAUUUUAUUGGGGUGAUAGAAAAAUUAAAUAAACUUUUUUUUUUAUAAUUACAUGAAUAAGUGAAUUUAUGAUCCAUUAUUAAUGAUUAAAAGAUAAAAUUACCUUAGGGAUAACAGCGUAAUUUUUUUUUUUAGUUCGUAUAAAAAAAAGAGAUUGCGACCUCGAUGUUGGAUUAAGAUAAAAUAUAAAUGCAAAAGUUUAAAAUUUUGAUCUGUUCGAUCAUUAAAAUCUUACAUGAUCU
rnacentral:rRNA from 1 species